GAUGGGCCCCGGUCCUGGGCAGGGCUCACCCUUUGCACCGCUGCAGCCCCUUCAGCAGGCUCCCUAAAUGAGAACAGAGUGUAAAAACCCAGGAGGCAGAGAGAGAGGAGACGGGGCGUAACGGGGUGAGGGCCAAGAGGUGGGCUCUGGGGCGGGGGCAGAACCGCUGAUGGAGCCGGGCACCCGCUGAGCCGGUCCGGUGGAAGGGCCCCAGGAAGGCAGCUAGAAUGCUCACCUCACACACUUCUGCAGACCUGGGUCCUGCUGUGUGUUUCCAGGCAUCACGGAGGCCAGCUGCUGACCUUUCACUGAUGGCUGCUCAACUACUAUGUAAGGUUGAUCACGUGCUCAUGGCCAGGACCAACCAUUUCACUGGGGAGUCUGGAUAAAGAGGAAUGUGUGUCUCCCCCAGCCUCUAGUGAGUGUUUACCAUAAAGGAAGAGCUCAGAAAUACUUGAAGGUCAAAUGACCCCCUCCCCUAGGUGAUUUUAUUCAUUGUCACUUGUGAGAUGCACCACUGAAGACUUGAUGGUCAUCUAUAUCCCUUGCUGGUUAAAGUGUGACCACACUGCUGUCUAAGUUAAGUACAUUUUAAGUGAUGUAAAGAUCAGUGAAGUGUUGCCUUUUGGAAUGGAUUGUUUUUAAAAUGUCUGGCAUAAUGUGUAAUAUUGUGAAAGAUCACCAACAGCCAGAAAUAGGACAGGGGUGUUUCUACAUUUUCAAAUGUUGAAAUUUGUUUCUUA